rnacentral:rRNA from 1 species
AGAGACAGCAGUAGCCACGGUAAGACAGAGGAUGCAAGCGUUAUCCGGAAUGAUUGGGCGUAAAGGGAGCGCAGGCGGUUUAGUAAGUCUGAAGUUAAAGGCAUUGGCUCAACCAAUGUAUGCUUUGGAAACUGUUAGACUUGAGUGCAGAAGGGGAGAGUGGAAUUCCAUGUGUAGCGGUGAAAUGCGUAGAUAUAUGGAGGAACACCGGUGGCGAAAGCGGCUCUCUGGUCCGUCACUGACGCUGAGGCUCGAAAGCGUGGGUAGCGAACAGGAUUAGAUACCCCGGUAGUCCCUGUCUCUUAUACA